GAUGAACGCUGGCGGCGUGCUUAACACAUGCAAGUCGAACGAUUAAAGCCCCUUCGGGGGUGUAUAAAGUGGCGAACGGGUGAGUAACACGUGGGCAAUCUGCCCCUCACUUCGGGAUAACUCAGGGAAACUUGAGCUAAUACCGGAUACUCCGAACUGAUCGCAUGGUCGGUUCGGGAAAGCUCCGACGGUGAGGGAUGAGCCCGCGGCCCAUUAGCUUGUUGGUAGGGUAACGGCCUACCAAGGCGACGAUGGGUAGCCGAGCUGAGAGGCUGAUCGGCCACACUGGGACUGAGACACGGCCCAGACUCCUACGGGAGGCAGCAGUGGGGAAUAUUGCGCAAUGGGCGAAAGCCUGACGCAGCAACGCCGCGUGCGGGAUGAAGGCUCUCGGGUCGUAAACCGCUUUCAGCAGGGAUGAAAUUGACAGUACCUGCAGAAGAAGCCCCGGCUAAAUACGUGCCAGCCGCCGCAGUAA
rnacentral:rRNA from 1 species